rnacentral:rRNA from 1 species
UACGAAGGGGGCUAGCGUUGUUCGGAAUUACUGGGCGUAAAGCGCGCGCAGGCGGUCCUUCAAGUCAGAGGUGAAAGCCCAGAGCUCAACUCUGGAACGGCCUUUGAGACUAGAGGACUUGAGUACGGGAGAGGUGAGUGGAAUUCCGAGUGUAGAGGUGAAAUUCGUAGAUAUUCGGAAGAACACCAGUGGCGAAGGCGGCUCACUGGCCCAUUACCGACGCUCAGGCGCGACAGCGUGGGGAGCAAACAGG